UCACCAAAGGAAGUCAGGACUGGAACUCGAGCAGAUCAGGAAGCAGGAGCAGAGGCCAUGGAGAAAUGUUACUUACUGGCUUGCUUCCCCUGGCUUGCUCAGCUUACUCUCUUAUAGAACCCAAGACUACCUGCCCAGGGACGGCAUCACCCACAAUGGGCUGGGCCCUCCCACCUUGAUCUCUAGGGAGGGAGAAAAUACCUUACAGCUGGGUCUCAUGGAAGCAUUUCUCUGUGAUAAUUCCAGCUUGUGUCAAGUUGACACACAAAACCAGCCAGUACAGUUACUAAAGUAAUGAAAGAAAAACAAAUCAGAAGUGUAGAAGAAGAAGUUGAACAAGAAAAGCAGGCAGCAGAUGGCAUUAUCAAAAAUAUGUCUCCUGAAAAACAAGUCAAGUACAUAGAAAUGAAAACCACGAAUGAGAAACUAUUGCAGGAAUUAGAUACACUUCAGCAACAACUAGAUUCACUGAACAUUAAAAAGGAGAGCCUAGAAACUGAAAUAGCACACUCCCAGGUAAAACAAGAGGCUGUAUUGCUAUAUGAAAAACUUUAUGAGUUAGAGUCCCAUCGAGAUCAAAUGAUUGCAGAAGACAAAAGCAUGGGAUCGCCAAUGGAGGAAAGGGAGAGAUUGCUUAAGCAGGUUAACAGAUAUAAAGGAAAAAAUAAAUCAGUUUAGUGAAGAGAUUAGACAACUUGACAUGGAUUUAGAGGAACACCAAG
rnacentral:lncRNA from 1 species